rnacentral:rRNA from 1 species
AGAGUUUGAUCCUGGCUCAGGAUGAACGCUGGCGGCGUGCUUAACACAUGCAAGUCGAGCGAAGCACUUUUGCGGAUUUCUUCGGAUUGAAGCAACUGUGACUGAGCGGCGGACGGGUGAGUAACGCGUGGGUAACCUGCCUCAUACAGGGGGAUAACAGUUGGAAACGGCUGCUAAUACCGCAUAAGCGCACAGUACCGCAUGGUACCGUGUGAAAAACUCCGGUGGUAUGAGAUGGACCCGCGUCUGAUUAGCUAGUUGGUGGGGUAACGGCCUACCAAGGCGACGAUCAGUAGCCGACCUGAGAGGGUGACCGGCCACAUUGGGACUGAGACACGGCCCAAACUCCUACGGGAGGCAGCAGUGGGGAAUAUUGCACAAUGGGGGAAACCCUGAUGCAGCGACGCCGCGUGAGCGAUGAAGUAUUUCGGUAUGUAAAGCUCUAUCAGCAGGGAAGAAAAUGACGGUACCUGACUAAGAAGCCCCGGCUAACUACGUGCCAGCAGCCGCGGU